rnacentral:rRNA from 1 species
CGGCAAGACGGAAAGACCCCGUGAACCUUUACUAUAGCUUGACACUGAACAUUGAGCCUUGAUGUGUAGGAUAGGUGGGAGGCUUUGAAGUGUGGACGCCAGUCUGCAUGGAGCCGACCUUGAAAUACCACCCUUUAAUGUUUGAUGUUCUAACGUUGGCCCGUUAUCCGGGUUGCGGACAGUGUCUGGUGGGUAGUUUGACUGGGGCGGUCUCCUCCUAAAGAGUAACGGAGGAGCACGAAGGUUGGCUAAUCCUGGUCGGACAUCAGGAGGUUAGUGCAAUGGCAUAAGCCAGCUUGACUGCGAGCGUGACGGCGCGAGCAGGUGCGAAAGCAGGUCAUAGUGAUCCGGUGGUUCUGAAUGGAAGGGCCAUCGCUCAACGGAUAAAAGGUACUCCGGGGAUAACAGGCUGAUACCGCCCAAGAGUUCAUAUCGACGGCGGUGUUUGGCACCUCGAUGUCGGCUCAUCACAUCCUGGGGCUGAAGUAGGUCCCAAGGGUAUGGCUGUUCGCCAUUUAAAGUGGUACGCGAGCUGGGUUUAGAACGUCGUGAGACAGUUCGGUCCCUAUCUGCCGUGGGCGCUGGAGAACUGAGGGGGGCUGCUCCUAGUACGAGAGGACCGGAGUGGACGCAUCACUGGUGUUCGGGUUGUCAUGCCAAUGGCACUGCCCGGUAGCUAAAUGCGGAAGAGAUAAGUGCUGAAAGCAUCUAAGCACGAAACUUGCCCCGAGAUGAGUUCUCCCUGACUCCUUGAGAGUCCUGAAGGAACGUUGAAGACGACGACGUUGAUAGGCCGGGUGUGUAAGCGCAGCGAUGCGUUGAGCUAACCGGUACUAAUGAACCGUGAGGCUUAACCUUACAACGCCGAAG